rnacentral:rRNA from 1 species
UACAGAGGGUGCGAGCGUUGUCCGGAAUCACUGGGCGUAAAGGGCGCGUAGGUGGUGGCUUAAGCGUGCGGUGAAGGCUCGGGGCUCAACCCCGAGUCGGCCGUGCGAACUGGGCUCACUGGAGCAUAGUAGAGGCAGGUGGAAUUCCGGGUGUAGCGGUGGAAUGCGUAGAGAUCCGGAAGAACACCGGUGGCGAAGGCGGCCUGCUGGGCUAUGGCUGACACUGAGGCGCGACAGCGUGGGGAGCAAACAGG